AUCGGUAGCACAGUGGUCAGUGCAGUCUGCCGGAAAGAGAAAGACGCGAGUUCAAUUCCCGUCCGAU
rnacentral:tRNA from 1 species